rnacentral:lncRNA from 1 species
CGCUAUCCCACAGUCCGCAGGGGGGCGCUCUGCCCGCCGCCUCCUCUCUGUGGUCGGCCGCUCCUUGGCGGGCGGCUGAUAGGGGGCGGUGCUUGAGCGGCGCGGACCAAUCCCGACAGCGCCGCCGGCGUCGGGAAGCCUCCUAUUGGCCGGCCCCGCAUCGCGCGGGGACCAAUCCCCGCCGCCGUUGGUUUGGAAACCGGCGGCGCGCGGCGCGGGGCCCGCAGAAGGGUCCCGGCGGGGCCGGGCGCAGGGUGCGGAGCCCCCAUGGCGUCUCGCGGCCCCCCCGGCGGCGGGGAGAGCCGGGCCACGGAGCCCCGCGGGACGCCCCCGUUCCGGGCGGACCCGGCGGCGCUGGCCGCGAUCCUCAGCGGACCGGGCCCGGGCCCGGGAGCGCGGCCCGAGGCUCGGCCCGGCGGCGCCGUCAGGGCCUCGCUGGCCGGGCGCGUCCCGCUGCGGCUCGGCUCCCUCCGCACGCAGAUGCGCGCCCCCGGUGCCGCCGCCCGCUGCUGCCGCCGCUCAGCGCCCCGCUCCCCGCAGGCCUCGCGGCCGCUCCAGCGCCACCUCGACCGCGCCUCCGGUUUCUCUGUUCGGGCUCCCGGGGGCCCCCCGCGCCCCCUCGCCCUCCCUGCCGCCGCCCCGGUUCUCGAGCGCCGCGGCGAAGCCCCGAAGGAGGCGGCCGGGGCCCGGUCCCGCAGCCUGAAAAAACACACGGACCAGGAUCCCUCCGCAGUGGUGAAAGCAGAGACCCUCCCGGCUGCGCUGGCCCCUGUCCUGCCCAGUGAGCAGCUGAGCGAGACGGGGGGAGCCACGGGGGGCAGACCCUGCCUGGCCCGCCGAGUGCCCGCCCGCGUCCCCUCCUCGGCCAGGGGCACCGCAGGAGCUGCCCGGGGGGCACAGGGGCUCCCACAAACCGCGGGGGGAGCCCAAGCUGAACCGCCAGGUUCCCUCCUUACCCAGGAGAGCGCGUCCAUGCUCCCAGACCGCCCCUCGAAUGAAAGCAGCACCCCAGGCACUGACCCCCCCCGAGCAUCUGGACCCUCCAACGUCGGCUUGGCUCGCCGUGUGCCCAUCACCAAGGCCAUGCGCUUUGAGGCAUCCAAAGAGCGCUUCUUCCGCACGCCGCGCCUCACCCCCCGCAGCCGCGUGUUGGGCACCCACCAGCGCCCCCUGAAGUGGAGACUGGCCCUGUCCCCCCAGCCUGGCCCCAGCACCGAUGCUGCUGAGAGCAAGGAGGAGGCCCCACCCUGGGAGAACAUCGUGGUGCAGCUCUUCAGGGAGGACGAGGGCCAGCAGGAGCCCGAGGGGCAGACACCGGCUCUGCCCAGCACCUCGCCGAGCUCCAGCACGGCUCAGGACAGGGCCGUGGUGCAGCUCUUCUGGGGGGACAAGGGCUGGCAGGAU